CCCUUAGAUGUUCUGGGCCGCACGCGCGCUACACUGAUGCAUUCAACAAGUUCACCUUGGCCGAGAGGCUUGGGCAAUCUUUUGAACAUGCAUCGUGAUAGGGAUAGAUUAUUGCAAUUAUUAAUCUUGAACGAGGAAUUCCUAGUAAACGUAGAUCAUCAAUCUGCAUUGAUUACGUCCCUGCCCUUUGUACACACCGCCCGUCGCACCUACCGAUUGAAUGGUCCGGUGAAGCCUCGAGAUUGUGGCCAGCUCGCUUUAUUGUGGCGUGACCGCGAGAACUUGUCUAAACCUUAUCAUCUAGAGGAAGGUGAAGUCGUAACA
rnacentral:rRNA from 1 species